rnacentral:rRNA from 1 species
CCUACGGGAGGCUGCAGUGAGGAAUAUUGGUCAAUGGCCGAGAGUCUGAACCAGCCAAGUCGCGUGAGGGAAGACUGCCCUACGGGUUGUAAACCUCUUUUGUCGGGGAGCAAUGCGUGCCACGUGUAGUUCAUUGAGUGUACCCGAUGAAAAAGCAUCGGCUAACUCCGUGCCAGCAGCCGCGGUAAUACGGAGGAUGCGAGCGUUAUCCGGAUUUAUUGGGUUUAAAGGGUGCGCAGGCGGAGGUGCAAGUCAGUGGUCAAAUUGCGGGGCUCCACCCUGUACUGCCGUUGAGACUGUAAGACGUGAGUGCGGGCGAGGCAGGCGGAAUACGUGGUGUAGCGGUGAAAUGCAUAGAUAUAACGCAGAACUCCGAUUGCGAAGGCAGCAUACCGGAGCGCAACUGACGCUGAUGCACGAAAGCGUGGGUAGCGAACAGGAUUAGAUACCCGAGUAGUC